rnacentral:lncRNA from 10 species
UCGGGUGUUGGGGCCUGGUCCCGCUUGCAAAAGCUCCCACGGACCAGAGAAAAGAGGAGGAUGUCAGACGUAGAAACAAAUGGCGUGUCAAGUUUCGCAGGAAGAGAGGGAAGAGUGAAGCUCCGGGAGCCAGCCACGAUUAGUCGCGCCUUCUGUGACGUCCAAUGGCAGAGGUGACUCUGAAGCAGAACUCUUGAGAUGGAAGGAUUGUCAUCUGAGGAAAAAAAAUCAAGAUUAAGAGAGGAGGAACUAGAAUGAGAUUCACAUACCGUCUCUCCUCCAAGGGAAGGAGAGAGUGGUGAUGCCUGCCCACUCCUUCCUGGGCAGAACAUUUGUAGCAUGGAACAUUGGAGAAUUUGCAGUCUGCUGACUUUCUGAUUUAGGAGGUUGAUGGGGAGGCCUUAUAAUUUGCAUUUCUAACAAGUUCUGAGGUGAUGCUUCAAGUAUGUCCAGGCAGAAGGGCUGCCUCACAGAGAAUUCUGCCAUACCACAUGGGAAUUGAAGUCACAGACAUCUCUAACCCUCAAGCCUGAAACCAAAAGACUGAAAACCAACACUACAGUGGACAAAGAACAUCUCUGAACUUGUGUGGGGACCAGUGACACAAGGACCUAAGGUCUCUCUCUUCUCAUCUUGGCACUUCAGAAGUCUCCCCAAUCUUGACAAAGCCCUGGAGAAAGGGCCGGGCCUCCCGUUGAUAAGAAUAUCACUGCAGAUAAAUGGAGGUUUCAAAUUGAAAGAAAGGAGGAGGGCCUCCUGUUGAUAAGAUUAUUGUCACUGCAGGUAAAUGGAGGCUUCAAAUAGAAAUACAUUUCAGUUACAGAAAAAAAAAUUAUCUUUGUUACACAUUUGAGUUUGCAGGCCUAAGGUUACUCCCGCUACACUAUCAUCUGUAACCAUAACGCACUCAACAUUUUAAGCUAACUAUAAGGAUUGUUGCUUCACUCAAAGAUCCUGAGGUUUUAUUCACUAACAUUUUUAUUUGGUGACUAUAGUUGACAAGAACAAAGCUGUGGGGAACCAACAAACACUGCAAUGCCUGGCAUUGUCACCUCACUAGAUUGUGAGUUCCUCUGGGACAGGGUCCGUACAUUUUCUUAGAAUCCCUCACUUAGCCAUUAGCCUGCACAGUGCUUGUACUUAGUAAGUGCUCAGUAAAUGUUUGUGGAAUGAAUGCAUGAUGAACAAAAUAUAUACUGAGGACUCUUGGUGUUGAUUCUUGUUGAUAAUGUAAUAGUUAAGAUAUGUUAUAAAUAUGUUAUAAAUAUUGUAUCAAAAUAUUGUAUCAAAAAUAUACUUGAACAGGCUGGGCGUGGUGGCUCACACUUGUAAUCCCAGCCCUUUAGGAGGCUGAGGUGGGUGGAUCACUUGAGGUCAGGAGUUCGAGACCAGACUGGCCAACAUGGUAAAACCCCAUCUCCACUAAAAAAAAACAAAAGUUAACUGGGCAUGGUUGUGGGUGACUGUAAUCCCAGCUACUCAGGAGGCUGAGGCAGGAGAAUCGCUUGAACCCGGGAGUAGUUUAUAAACAACAGAAUGCAUUUCUCUCAAUUCUGGAGGCUGGGAAGUCCAAGAUCAAGGUGCUGGCAGAUUGUGUGUAGUGAAGAUCCAUUCAUCAGAGAUGGCACCUUCUCGUUGUGUCCUCACAUGGUGGAUGGGGCAACAGGCUCUCUUAGGCUUCUUUUAUAAGGGCAAUAAUUCAUGAAGUUUCCACACUUAUGAUAGAAUUACCUCCUAGAGGCCCCACUUCCAAAUACCAUCACCUUGAGGGUUAGGUUUCAACAUACAAAUUUUGGAGGUACACAUUCAGAUGAUGACAGCACUCAUAGGUUACCUUUCAUCUUUGGGUUCUCAGUGCCUGCUACAACAGCACAAGAACAGUAAGUGUGUGCUGAAUGAAUACAGAUGAAUGAACCUUUCCCCAUCCUCAGAUACUUCCCAACUGAGCUCCACUAUCACCAAACUUCUAGAGCACAUUAUUUUUUGCCUUAUGAUCUCGUUAGGUGGGUUUUUCUUGCACAUACCACACUAAUCCAGUGGUCCUCAAAAUUGUGUGCCCAUUAGAAUCCUCUGGAGGGGUUGUAAAAAUAGUUUGCUGGGUCCUAACCCCAGAGUUUCUGAUUUAGGAGGUUUGGGAUGGGGACACCAAAAUUUGCAUUUCUAACAAGUCCAGAGGUGAUGUUGAUACUGCUGGCUACCAACUCUACCUUAUAAACCAUUGCCCAUUAAACUCUUGAGGGUAGAGACUGUCUUCCUCAUUUCAGUAUCUGCUGAAGCCUCUGGCAUAGUACCUGGCACAUAGGAGCUGCUAAAGAAGUAGUUGAUUGAACAAUAGUUCAAAAAAGUUUAUUUUACUGAAGCUAGAUUACAAGUAUAUGAAUGUGUGUGUAUAUGUGAUUAAAUGAGCUAUUACAUGUAAAAGCUCUUAAAACAUGGCACAUAGUAAGCUGUUGCUUUAAAAAAAAUAAAAAAUGUAACCUUUCUUUGCUUAUAUUCUAAAAUGACACCAACCAUCCUACAUGUGUGCUCUUAAAUAGCUUAUAUAUUAGAAUAAUGGAAUCUUAGUACUAAAGGCUGGAUGUGGUUGCUCAUGCCUGUAAUCCCAGCACCUUGGGAAGCCGAGGUGGGUGGAUCACUUGAGGUCAGGAGUUCAAGACCAACCUGUUCAAUAUGGUAAAACCCUGUCUCUACUAAAAAUACAAAAAUUAGCCCUGCGUGGUGGUGCAUGCCUGUAGUCGCAGAUACUUAGGAGGCUGAGGCAGGAGAAUUGCUUGAACCUGGGAGGUAGAGGUUGCAGUGAGCUGAGAAGAUUGUACCACUGCACUCCAGCCUGGGCAAAAGAGACUGUCUAAAAAAAAAAAAAAAAAGUAAUCUAGUUAAUAUUUCAAUAUUGAGCAUCAAGAAUUUUUAAAAAUUGGUUGAGUGUUUUCUACAUGCAGAAAGAUACAGCAGAGAGCAUAGACACAAUCCUUGCCCUCCCAAGCGUAUACCCAGCGAGAAAGUGAGAAGCACAGAGUAUGUGUAAGCAUAAAAAUACUAAGUUUUGAGAGUAGACAGCAACUAUGAAAAUAUUCAGUUAUAUCGAUGCAACUCAGUCUUCAUUAAUUGUUCUCAUCGGAGCACAUCUUUUUCACAUUCUGUAAAGUAACGCUCGGUAUGGGCCCAAGGAAUAUUUAAUAAAUAUUUAAAAAUGAAGUUAAUAAUUGUUUUGAAAGCCAUAUGGUUGAUAUUUCUUCUUAAAUGUAACCAAUAGAAACAACAUAAGGAAUUUGGCCUGUGCAUAUAUUUGCACAUUUAUGGUACAGGCAUUUACAUGGAGGUGCCUGUCAUUUGUGACACAGACUUCUCAUCAAGUUUCAGAAGGAACAGAUGUUUCUAGAUGGAAUAAUAUGGAGCUUGCCAUUGUAAGAAUCCUGUAAUAAAUCCUUUCAUAAAAUAAAUAUAUCUGAAUUAUCUCUUGUUAUACAUUUUCACUCCUGGAUCAUCUAAAGUAGAACACAAAGAUUGUUCAUAAACUAUUCAUUCAAAACAACUUUAUAUAAAAAGAAUUACUGUUG